UCCGCGUUAAUUACUGUUCAUUCCGCCUCCUUCUCACCCUCCUUUUAAUUUGUGUUUUGUGUGUGCUUUACCACGCGCGCCACGUGUCGGGGCGGCGGAGCCUGCGUGUGGUUUAUAAAUAACCGCACGCUCCCUGGGGACACACGCUGGCUCGGGGGGGUUAACGCUGGUAGGGCAGCGCUGCGGCCUCUCCUGGCCACGUUUAAGGAUCUGGAGCAUUAAAUAACAUUAAGAAUUAACAGAUGCCAAGGGAGUCGCAUUCGUUUUUCCGUGGGAAGGAGGUCAGCACCGCCGGUGGGGGUGUCGGACCAGGUAGAGGAGCAGAUUCCCAGGAGAAGGACAGAGGCAUGAUAACUAUAAUCUUGUACUCACUGAUCUCCCUGUUAUGUUGAGCUGAGAGAUUCGGCUUAUCCAGAUUUCUCUAAGCUUUUUAUUAGAACCAGGCCAGCUCAGCACUGAACUCAUGUUCUGUAUUUUAUGUGCUAAUUUUUGGACAGCUUUUUUUCUAGAUGGCUAAGAUUUUGCUCAUGACCUGUGAGCACUCCACAGGCCACCUUCCUUAUCCAUCUCCGUAAUCCCAUCCUGCAGCUUCUCCAGUUAUGCCUUUCUGCAGUAAUCAAAACUGAGAUUUACUGUGAAGUUUUAGCCCUAAAGAUUGACAAGAAAACAAUCUAAAGUGACCUGGAAGCUAAACGUUAACUUUCCUAGAAGAGAAAGAAAAGAGGAAGAUGUGGAUCAGGCUUGUUCACCUCAGCAGUUGAAUGCUGGUACCCAGCAAUAAACACAUUGCUGAACUGCUGACAAAGCCCGAGAGCCUGAGACUGCUUACAAAAUCUUGGGAUUGCUGAGAGAGAUUUAGUGGAAGAAGCCUGCUUUUAUUUUUCCAUUCUGUCUUACUUUAAAUUUCUUAGCUGUAUAACUUUCCAUUUUUGAAACUCCUUAGGAGGCGUUAUUGGUAUUAUUUUUAAGCUUAAUCUCUUUGAGACUGGCUUUUGCUUAUUCUGUCUGCACUGCUUUAUCUUCAGAGCAUUGCUGUCUGUUCUCACGAGAUGCAUACCUCAGUUUUCCAGUGAUACUGCUUCUACAGAAGAAUUUAACUAAAGCCCUGAUUUUUUCUUACUUUAGACUUGAGGAUCCAUUCAAAAUCUCUGGGAGUCUAUAUAUGUUGCUCAGCACAGUUUGAAAGUGAAUGUACAUUACUAAGUAAGACUUGCAGAGUAUUUGAUUCUGAUGUAAAAACAAAAUGCUUUUCAGAUGCUGUGUUUGUAAACUGAACAUACAUUCCUGUAAUGCCAUCGAGGAGAAUCAAGCAGUUUGUUCGUGUGGAUUUGGGGAGUCAUCCUAAAUCAGCAACAUUAUGUUACUAUGUUAGGGAGGGAAAGAAAGAAAAAUUGUCCUUUUUAGCCUUAAAAUUUUAGGGAAAAUUUUAAGUACAGAAAAUGUAAUUACUCAUCUCGAAAUUUAUCCAGGAAGCUAGAAUUAAACGCCUUCCUCUCACAAAAAAAAAAAUAACAAUAGGAUCAUAUGACAGUUAUGAGUUUCAGGUUAAAAGUUAAGAGACCAUGAUUGAAAAGCCAUUAUUUGAUGUGUGCUGCUGCUUAUUAUUCUCAGUUCUCUUUUGUAGUGAUUGUGUUGCCAUUUUUUGUUCACCCCAUGCACUCUUCUGGACCCAAAGGCAACACAAGUGUUUUUUGACCGACUUGCACAUUCUGCUGGGGCAUUCAGGGAGCUCUGUCACUGCUCGUGGGUUCAUGUGCAACAGCACCAACAUAUAUAUAUGGGCAAAUAUCCAUUAAAUCUUACCUUAAAAGCAACAAUUCUUUAAAAUUAUAGAAAUAUCUAUUCAAUAAUUCAGUUUUUAAACUGUUCAGAAUUUGCAUUUCUGUCCAUUUCCCCAUAGAAAAGCUAGCACUCAUCCUCGGUUUUAUCUUCAAAUGUCGGUAAAAGUAUCAGCUCUACUAAUGUGCUAUAUGGAAACUCUAGUUUGCAUAUUGCAACAGGUGAAAAAUAUGCCCCAGCAAAGACAUGGUUAUAAUACAUUCAGAUCUCUGCAGGUAUGCAGAAGUCUGUGCCUAAUUCAUCAAAAUAAUCCUGUACUUCACAGAUAGCCCAUAAUGUAAGUACAAGUAAUGUCACAGGUGGUGGGCAGCCCGUGUACCCGGAGCAGUAAGGCAGUUUCCCCUCUGGAGCGCAAGCUCCCUUGCCUGGAGCCUGCCUGUGGCGUGUAGCUGGCUGACAUGGCUGUGCAGCACAGCCUUUUAAGGGAGAACUAUCUAUUCUGGUUUUGUCUUCUUCACUAAAUAGGGUGUUGCAGACAGUGACAGGCUCACUAACUGGGAUUUCCCCUUCUCUUUGCAGUGCCUGAUGAGGAAAAUCCUCCUGCUCCCACCAUGUACUGACGUUUCAGGUCCAGGUAAUAUUUUCUGUGCAUAAUAACUUCCACAGCCCGUGGAAACCUUGUCGGCACAGCAUGAAUUUGUCCACCUUUAAUCAGUGGGCAGGCAGGAGAAAGGCUUCCCACCCCUGUGCACGGGUUGGUGUGCUGCUUCUCGGGGAAUGGUUUGCUCUCUUCCCAGGUCAGCCAGCACUGCAUCAGAUUGUUUGGGAAGUCAGCGGGGCUGCUGGGUACCAGGAUAAAGUUCUUUAAAAGGCAUCAUUGCAGGAGGAAUAAGCACUGCACUACAUUUGUGUUGCACGGAGGCCGUGGGACCAGUUGUACACCGGGUAACCUUCUGACAGUGCACCCAGGAACCACAGUUACAAGCAGUCAUUGAUUUGUUUCCUGCUUGAGUACCAUAAAACAUUUUUCAAGAAAUGGAAGGAGAUAAAGGGCAGAGUGCUAAAGCUACCAGUGCGGUGGGUGACCUGAGGAAAAGCUGGCAGACCUGGGCAGAGGAUCACAUUGAGUAUCAGAGAAAGAACCCAUUCAGCAGCGAGGACAGGCUUGCCUCUAAACCUGCGCACACUCACCGAGGAGAUCCUACCUAUGGGAGACCCCCUGAAGGGUCUCGGACAGAGCAGAGAGGGAAAGAUGCUCACUCACACGUGGGCAAGGAAGUAGAAGAGCUGUGCUUGAUCAUUAGAAGCACUGGACAGGUGGGAGAAGAUGGACACGUGAGUGUGACAUUUGGGCAGCUGUUUGAAACAUAUGUGACUAUUUCCAAUAAAGUAGUGGGAAUCUUGUUAAGAGCCAGAAAACAUGGUCUGGUUCAUUUUGAAGGUGAAAUGCUUUGGCAAGGAAAAGAUGAUGAUGUGGUUAUCACUUUACUACAAUAAGGCUUUGUCAUGGAAUGAAUUUUGCACGGUUCCAUUUGGACAAACAUACCUAGAUACCAUCUUGAAAGGUUUUCAUUGCAGGAUUUCAGCUGAGCUACCUACUGGGACAUGAGCAGGAGAGAAAACUGGUGAGAAGGAUAAAGCAUAUUUUUGUAAAAAUGGUAGAGAUUUGGACAGAAAUCACAAAUGAUAAGCUAAUCCAUCACGCUGCCAGUGGAUUGUCCUUAUCAUCUACUACUAUGUAUAUCACAGUUCUUCAGAUGACUCCGCUGGCUUACUGCUUUUAGGUUAUUGAAAGGAUAUAUAACUAACUUUCUACCGUUCAACACUGAUCCUUACAGGUUGUGAGAUACUUGCUGCAUGGGGGAUUGGGAUUUGUAAAAUGUGGAAUUGAAAACUUUUGUGGGAAUUCAUAUACUUCCUCAAACAAAGAGCCUGGAUAUAUUUAGGUUCAAUUUCACACUGUUAAAUUGAAUAAAAGGAAGCUAUUUUCAUGAAGGAGAAAAAAAAAUCCCAAACUUAGAAAAAUAUCACAGCAAGGAUAUUUGAUGGUUCCUCAAUUAGUUGCACCUUGCAUGUAUUUUGGAGAGCUGCACUAGUCCUGGUAUUUAAUAGUCAACUCUUAUAUUUUCUCCAAACCUUCUGUGUCCUUUGUUCUUUUUCUUCUGUAUCUCACACCAUUUUUACCUCUUCUGUUCUCCCAAUGCUGUGUCAUACCCUAGAAGGUCACAAAGCUCUGCAGUUAUUUUGGUGGAUUCAGCUAUACCCCUUCAUAGGAAGUAAGGUGCCACAAUGUAAAGAUGUGAAAGACAACAGAAAUUCUGUAUUGGGGAACCUGCACAUUCAUAAGAAAAAAAAGGCUCUUCUUUCAGAAAAAGGAGUGAGAGACAAUGAAAAUAGGAAAAAAAGAAGAAAUGAAUGUGCUGAAAUAAGUCUGGGAAUAUCUGGGAAACAAAGGAGUCAGAUGUAGGUAGAAAAUGGAUGGGGAAACAAAGGGUGGGUUUUAACCACCACAUAAUUUUAUCAUGUUGGAAACUGGGGAAUAUGUGCUGCAUCAGGCAUUGCUGGUGUGUGUCCACUUAGUUUUCAAACUCACCACUUCUUCCAAAUAAAUCUCUGUCUUGCAGCUGAAAACAAGGCAUGUCAUUUGUGAUCUUAAGACAUUUAAAAUUAUUUGAUUUUCUUGGAAAAGUGUUUCUUGCCAAAAUGACAUGAGCAGACCUCAGGAGAUUUCGCCUCAAGCUUUUUAUAAAGCAGCUAUGGAAUGACUUUUAUUUAAUUCUGUCAGUUCUGACAUUCAGUCCGUUCUGCUGUAGUGUUAGUUCAUAGCUUGAAGGAAGCAGCAUCAGGUGGCAGAUGCUUACACAGCCUCUGAUACACUUUCUUCUGCUGCUGGUUGGUUUAAAUACCCCUUGAGUACAUCUACAAGAGCUUUAGGCACACCUCUGAUCAAAACAGAUGGAAACAGAACAAGCCCUUAAUGACAUGGUCUUACCUACUUUGUAAGGCAACUAAAAAACCCUUGCUCGAUCACUUUAUUUUGAAUAAAACUAAGGAUUGUUAUAGAAAAAAAAAGAUUAUUUACAGCAGGUUGGUGGUUUUUUUAAGCCAUUAUGGGGCCACAUUUCCUACCUGCCAGCUUUAGAUGAGCAUUCUAGAAAGAGUGACUGAAAUCUUUCUAUGUGCCCACACAAUGAUUAUAAACACCAAGCUGCCAAACUGGGUCAGCGUCCAGGUUGACAAAUCUGAUCUCGUGCUCCCAGUAAUAGCCAGUAUUCAAAAAAAAACCAGCUAAAAGAUAGGUAAUACAAUUGGUUGGCUUACCCAUUGGUACACUCUGGAAUAAAAAAUUGCUCCUGAAGGCUGUAUAGUCAUGAAUGCAUCAUAUCUAAUGCACAUGACUCAGUUUAGCUACUAGUUUACAAGUUUUACAAAAUUCUGUUUCCUCAUCUGUGAUGUGAUUAAUUAGCAUCUAUGGAUGAAAUGGGAAUGUAAACUUUUCAACACACAACUUUUUUUUUUUUUUUUCAGCAGGCUUCCAUUAAACAGAACAGAAUUAACUGAAUUAUUUUUGCAAAAAUUGUAGCACAUGAGGGGUUUUAGUAUAACAGAUUAUUUGGAGUAGUAAGUAAACUCCAACACUCUAAAAGGUGUUCUUGCCCUAUUCUGGGUAACUUUCAGGUCUUGAAAUCUCUCCAAAACUUCACUUCUACGUGGCAGGCUCUCUCAGUGGUCUUUCCUCUUCUUUCCCUUGAAGGCUAUGAACUCUCCAUCUGUUUUGGACUGUACAUUGUACAGGGAUUAUCUGUGGGUUGUCUGGUCAAACACUGAAGGCACUUUCCCCAUUUCAAUAAAUGUUGCACAUCAGUUUGAAAUGACGGGUUUUAUGCAGCAUUUUAUUGUUUUCAAGUUUGUCUAUUUUCAAAUACUGUUUUCACUUAUUUUCUCCCAUUUUUACGCUUUUAUUUACAGCUCGCACUUAAAGACUUUGGAAUAGUUUGGGGAGCUAUUACUAAUUUAAGCACAUUGAAAAUGCCGUGCAUGGUCAAAACACAAACUUUUUCAUUUAAUCUUAAUUUAACAGCAUUGUAUGUGUAUCUAUUUCAUCCUUUCAGAGGGAGCCUUUAGUACUUCAGCAUAACAGCAUUAUUUUUUGGGUUCACAUUAGGUUGGGAGUUUAUGUAAAACAACUGAGCAAAACAGUACAAAUAAAGCUUUGUCAUUCCUAAACAUGAGGUCAAAAAAGCAGCUUUUCUCAGGAUUGCUAAUACUGGAUCAAAGAACAGAGCUGGGGCAGUGGCUAAACAACUUUGCUUCUCCAGGAUCUUGGAGAGUAAGAGCUACUGUGUUCACUCUCCUUACUGAUCUUUGCUCCUUGGAAAGCUCUACAGAUGAUUUUUUAAGUUUUAAAAUAACUAAAAUCUUCUGUGGAAGACGGUGACAUAGUUAAUGGGAUUUGCCCAUUGUAAUUCAGAACCGCAUUCAAAGUAUUAGGAUAGGCUUUUCACAACGUAUUUCUUUGCCUAAUUAAAAAAAUUAUCUGCAGAGUCCAAGAGUGCUUGUCAAUGUGGAAGGAAAACGAACACAGUUCUGUGCUGAAAAACGCUAACGAGAUGCUGAGCGUUCCUCGGUAAUUAAUGUCCCUCUGCUUAACACUUUGUUGUUUGAGCUAGUUUGAGGCCUGUCUAUUUUGCUGUCAGGGAUAAGUGAGAUUCUCCAUCUCGUUCAUCAGCAAAACUCUGGAAGCUAAAAUUAUAUCCAUAUUUUUAUCUUUCCAGUCUUAUCAUCAUGAGUGCAACCCUUCUCAAAAGUUAAGAUACAAAACUUGACCUUUGUGCUUCUGUGAACAUCAGCCGGCGUACUGAGUCUGGCUGGGACGGAGGUCACUUUCUUCAGAGCAGCCCAUGUUUCGGGUUUGUCUGGAACAGUGUUGGUAACGCAGCAGCGUUCUGGCGACUGCUGAGUAAUGUGUGCACAGCAUCAAGGCCGCCUCUUUUUUCUGCUCUGCCCCCUCCGGUGGGCAAAAAAGUGUGGAGUGGGCACAACCUGCACACCUGACACCGACUGGCCAGCAGGGAUAUUCUGUGUCAUACAAUGUCUGCUCAGCAAU